rnacentral:rRNA from 1 species
AUACGGAGGGUGCAAGCGUUACUCGGAAUCACUGGGCGUAAAGCGCGCGCAGGCGGCUAUUUAAGUCGGAUGUGAAAGCCUAUGGCUCAACCAUAGAACUGCAUCCAAAACUAUUUAGCUAGAGUGUGGGAGAGGAAGAUGGAAUUAGUUGUGUAGGGGUAAAAUCCGUAGAGAUAACUAGGAAUACCAAAAGCGAAGGCAAUCUUCUGGAACACUACUGACGCUGAGGCGCGAAAGCGUGGGGAGCAAACAGGAUUAGAAACCCUAGUAGUCC